UACGUAGGGUGCAAGCGUUAAUCGGAAUUACUGGGCGUAAAGCGUGCGCAGGCGGUGAUGUAAGACAGCUGUGAAAGCCCCGGGCUCAACCUGGGAAUUGCAUUCGAUACUGCCGUGCUUGAGGACUGGAGAGGAGACUGGAAUUUACGGUGUAGCGGUGAAAUGCGUAGAUAUCGUAAGGAAGACCAGUGGCGAAGGCGGGUCUCUGGACAGUUCCUGACGCUGAGGCACGAAGGCCAGGGGAGCAAACGGG
rnacentral:rRNA from 1 species